UUUCUAAAUGCAGAUGUAGCAAAGAAAGCUGGUUUUAUUACUCCAGUGCCUGGAGGAGUUGGACCAAUGACUGUUGCAAUGCUGACCAAAAAUACCCUUAUGGCAUACAAAAAGGAAUUUAAAUUUGAAUAAGGAAUUUGUACUGUGGACCUUGUCAUCCAGAAUGCAAAGACACAGUCAGGUGUUCCAUACCAUUGUGCCAAUCUGAGAACAAAAUUGUGCCAAUCUGAGAACAAAGUGCAGCUUUUGAACAACUUAUUUAUUUAGCUCACCUGAGCCGAAGGCUCAAGUGAGCUUUUCUGAUCACAUUUUGUCCGUCGUCUGUCCGUCUGUAAACUUUUCACAUUUUCGACUUCUUCUCAAGAACCAAUGGGCCAAUUUACCAAACUUGGUACAAAGCAUCCUUGGGUGAAGGGGGGUUUAAAUUGUUAAAAUGAAGGGCCAAGUCCCCUUACAAAGGGAGAUAAUCAAGAAAAGACAAAAAUAGGGUGGGGUCACUAAAAAAUCUCCUUCUCAAGAACCACUGGGCCAGGAAAGCUGAAACUUAUGUGGAAGCAUCUUUGGGUAGUGUAGAUAUUAAAUUGUUAAAAUCAUGACCCCCAGGGGUAGGGCGGGGCCACAAUAGAGAAUCCAAGUUUGCAUAGAAAUAUAUAGAACAAAUCUUUAAAAAUCUUCAUCUCAAGAACCACUGGGCCAGGAAAGCUGAAACUUAUGUGGGAGCAUCCUUGGGUAGUGUAGAUAUUAAAUUUUUAAAAUCAUGACCCCCGGGGGUAGGGCGGGGCCACAAUAGAGAAUCCGAAUUUUACAUAGAAAUAUAUAUAGAACAAAUCUUUAAAAAGCUUCUUCUCAAGAACCACUGGGCCAGGAAAGCUGAAACUUAUGUGGAAGCAUCCUUCGGUAGUGUAGAUAUUAAAUUGUUAAAAUCAUGACCCCCGGGGGUAGGGCGGGGCCACAAUAGGGAAUCCAAGUUUUACAUAGAAAUAUAUAGAACAAAUCUUUAAAAAUCUUCUUCUCAAGAACCACUGGGCCAGGAAAGCUGAAACUUACGUGGAAGCAUUCUUUGGUAAUGUAGAUAUUAAAUUUUCAAAAUCAUGACCCCCUAGGGUAGGGUGGGGCCACAAUAGGGAAUCCAAGUUUUACAUAGAAAUAUAUAGAACAAAUCUUUAAAAGUCUUCUUCUCAAGAACCACUGGGCCAGGAAAGCUGAAACUUAUGUGGAAGCAUCCUUGGGUAGUGUAGAUAUUAAAUUGUAAAAAUCAUGACCCCCGGGGGUAGGGCGGGGCCACAAUAGGGAAUCCAAGUUUUACAUAGAAAUAUAUAGAACAAAUCUUAAAAAAUCUUCUUCUUAGAAACCACUGGGCCAGGGAAGCUGAAACUUAUUUGGAAGCAUCCUUGGGUAGUGUAGAUAUUAAAUUGUUAAAAUCAUGACCCCCGGGGGUAGGACGGGGCCACAAUAGGGAAUCCAAGUUUUACAUAGAAAAAUAUAGAACAAAUCUUUAAAAAUCUUCUUCUCAAGAACCACUGGGCCAGGAAAGCUGAAACUUAUGUGGAAGCAUCCUUGGGUAGUGUAGAUAUUAAAUUGUUAAAAUCAUGACCCCUGGGGGUAGGGCGGGGCCACAAUAGGGAAUCCAAGUUUUACAUAGAAAUAUAUAGAACAAAUCUUUAAAAAUCUUCUUCUUAGAAGCCACUGGGCCAGGGAAGCAGAAACUUAUGUGGGAGCAUUCUUGGGUAGUGUAGAUAUUAAAUUGUUAAAAGCAUGACCCCCGGGGGUAGGGUGGGGCCACAAUAGGGAAUCCAAGUUUUACAUAGAAAUAUAUAGAACAGAUCUUUAAAAAUCUUCUCAAGAACCACUUGGCCAGAAAAGCUGAAACUUAUGUGGAAGCCUCCUUGGGUAGUGAAAAUAUUAAAUUGUUAAAAUCAUGACCCCUGGGGGUAGGGCGGGCCACAAUAGAGAAUCCAAGUUUUACAUAGAAAUAUAUGUAGAACAAAUCUUUAAAAAUCUUCUUCUCAAGAACCACUGGACCAGGAAAGCUGAAACUUAUAUGGAAGCAUCCUUUGGUAGUGUAGAUAUUAAAUUGUUAAAAUCAUGACCCCCGGGGGUAGGCGGGGCCACAAAAGGGAAUUCCAAGUUUUACAUAGAAAAAUAUAGAACAAAUCUUUAAAAAAUCUUCUUCUCAAGAACCACUGGGCCAGGAAAGCAGAAACUUAUGUGGAAGCAUCCUUGGGUAGUGUAGAUUCUAAAGUUUUAAAAUAAAAAAGGGAAGGGGGUUGUUGGGCAUGAUAGGUAUAGCAAGAGGGGGAAUCUGGUAAAGAUCUGCAUCACCUAAGUUACUCAGGUGAGCGAUGUGGCCCAUGGGCCUCUUGUUUUAUUUUUUAAACUAAUAUAUAUAUAAAAUAUACCAUAUAAGAAGAAUUUUUAGCGAAUUGCCUACUUACAUUACUAAUUUCUUCCACACAAAGAGGCGUGGCAAGGUAUUCAGACUAUUCUUUAAAUUUAUUUCCAAAUUUAUUGUCAUAUCACUAAAACUUCUCACUUAAAUUAUUAUUUUUAAUAUUGAAUGACAGAAUUGGCAUCUCACAUAAAAUUCGACUUGUGUGGUAUUUACAUAUAGUGUUGUCAAUGAGUACCUAGUAAACUGGUUAAUUGUUGAAAGAUGUGAGUGUCGGUUAGUAAAACUGCUAUUCGUGUACUUGUACAUAUAAUAUUUAAAUUUUGACAAGUUAAAAUUAGUAGGUAAAAAUGUAAUUUUAUUCAUAUGCCUUACCGACGACACAACCUACUCAAGUAUUUAAAAAGAAAACACCUGUUUCUAUUUAUAGAUUAGGGAUGGGUCAAUUACAUAGGAAAGUAAUUAAUUAAAUUACAAUUAUUUUCCCAAAACCUUCAAUUAAAUUACCAUUACUAUUACAUGGAUUUUGAAAUGUAAUUAAUUAAAAUAAAAUUACUUUGCAAAUGUAAUUAAUUAAAUUACACAUUACAUUCAAGAAAACACGUAUAAAUUAUAAAGGAAAUAGUCAUGUACAUUCCUAAUCCUUUACAUUUAUAUCAGAUUAUUUUACAGCAUAUUUUUACAAUAAUAUUUUUAAAAUGUUCAUACAAUUUUCAAUUACUGUGUCUCCUAACCUACAUCUUUUAGAUUUGAAGAUUUUCCUGCCAUACUGAAGAUUCUGUUCACUGGAGUAUUUGUGACAGGAAUACAUAGAUACUGACUAGUAGAAAGUUUACUCAUGGUUCUACCUUAAUUUAUAUGUUAAAAAUUUGGAAUCAUGAAACAUUCGAUUAAAUUCAUGUUGAAAGUAUAA